ACACUAUCAAGGAGGCUCUGGGAAGGGUUUGAAAUGGAUUGUUGGAUUACUUCCUGCUUGCCAGCAGUGGUUGCUGGAGUUGGGGGUAGUGGGUGGGGGAAGGUAAACUUGCAGGCUCGACCACCUGUCCUGACCCGGAUCUACCUCUCCUUCCUGGGAAUGCAGAGUGGAAAGAGUGCCAAGCUAUUCACCAGGAACCCGCUGGGGGCGGAGGGGGGACCCACAACCUGGAUUCUGCCCUUAACCAGCUCUUAACAAACCCCCUCACUUUGCACCUCCCCUCCAAAUAGUCCUAGUAAUCCCCAUCCCACUCGCUUCAUGGGCUUUGUGAGAUGGUGAGGGUGGAAGCUCCUCCCACCCCGUUUGUGAGAAAUUAUAUAAAUGUGACAGAUUCUUGCCUUCAAGGCGUGGAGGGUGGAGUGCACCUCCCCUGCCAUCAGACUUGGAUCCCCGUGAGUGAGCGGUUACUAUUGAUCUGGGACACCUAUUCACUGUGUAGCAGUAGUGACAAUCCUAGCACGUCAUCUUGCUAAAUACUUCACAGUGAUUUUCAUAACCACAGGGUUCUCACAGCUUACCCCCCCUUCCAUUUCCCAGAGAGAAAACUGAGGCUCAGAGAGGUAAAAUAACCUGCUGGGCCACCUGUAAGUGCUGCUGCUGAGUCAAGGCCUUCUGGUUCUAAAGUCCACAACGUCAACCCCUGUGCUGCCUUAGUGACCCGGCUGCUCUGGCCAGCUCCCAGUAUGUCAGCACUUUGCAGCCAUCCAGACACCUGCUUUCCUACCUCUCCUGUGGUUGGGGCGCCAGGUUCUCCUUGGAGUCCAUCUGUGCCUAGUCACCCCAAGGAGAACCUUGUGCAAAACCUCUGUGUGUGACGUUCUGAAGCACAGGCAGUGUUUCCAUGACCUUUCAUUUACAUUGGGGUUUUUCUUGCCUUUGAAGACCAUCAUUUUGGGCGGGGCCAUCCCAGAAAGUAUGGUUCCCUCAGGGUCCAAUAUCUUCUGAUCUUUUCUUUUUAAAAAUGUUUUUAAUGAGUGUGCUAGCAUAUCAUUUGUUAUCAUCAGCAAAUGCUGUAACAAGCGCUUAUGUACAUGUUAGCUGGAGUGAAUACUCUCUCUACUGAUCAAGUUAAACAGAUAAGCUCCCCAUCCUUGUAGAAACUACAACUUAAUACACUCUAAGGCCUGACAGAUGACUAGUAUUUAUUUUCCAACUGCUUUAUCUCUGUAAAACGAUGUGCCGAAUUACUAUAAUUGGUGUAGAAAGAACUGUUCCCUUAACUUAUGUAAACAGUCUGGUUUUGAAAACUUAAUGGUCGUGGCUUAGCAAGUUUGACACACUUUGCCUUCCCCGAGACAGAGGAACCCCCUGCCUGCCCUGCUCACCACUGUAUACUCAGCUCUGGGUGCACUUUCUUUUCCUUGUUUUUUUUUUUUUUUUUUUUUAAUUUUUGUUGUUGUUUUUCUUGAAAAAUUAAUACAUAUACAUGGUAAGACAUCCAAACAAUACAAAAGAAUAUACAGUGCAAAGUAAGCUUCCUAUCGGAGGUCAGCCUUCAGCUCCCCAGCCCACCUCCAGAAUUAAUCACUGUUAUCUAGAUCUUGUGUACCCUUUCUGAGCAAUUCUAUGCAUUUACAAGUUUAUAAAUAUGUAUAUUUAUAUAUCUAUUUUUAAUACAAAUGGUAGCAUUCUAUGCACAGUGUUCUGAAGCUUGCUUUUUUUCACUUGUGUAAUGGAGAUUGUUCCAA
rnacentral:lncRNA from 1 species